GAUUCUCCUGCCUCAGCUUCCUGAGUAGCUAGGAUUACAGGUGUGUGCCACCACGCCCGGCUAAUUUUGUAUUUUUAGUAGAGACAGGGUUUCACCAUGUUGGUCAGGCUGGUCUAGAACUCCUGACCUCAGGUGAUCCACCCGCCUCAGCCUCCCAAAGUGCUAGAAUUACAGGCAUAAGCCACUGUGCCCAGCCCCAUAUUUACUUUUCAUAGCCACCUUAAGACCUCCUCUGCCACGGCCAUGGCUAGAAUUUCACUAGCCUCUGGCACAAAGCAGUGGUGCCCAGGCAUAUGGCAGGGAUAAUGCUCUCCCAGCCAAAGUAGCAAUGUCAUCUCUUCUAUUCUUUCUUCUUCUCCCUCUAAGUCACUCAGCCCUAAACCAGGUGUGUUCCAAUUUCCUCUACUAUAUGUGCCUCAACCUUCUCUCAGCUCCAGAGAAGACAGGACCACCUUCCAAAGAAGAACUCUCUGCAGUGUCUGAGCUCCUGCAGCAUGGGCUGCCCCAGAUAAGCAGCAGGAGCCCUGAAAGCCUUGCCUUCCUGUCUGAUCGCCAGUACAUGGAGGGAGCUGCUCGCC
rnacentral:sRNA from 1 species